UAAUUCCUCCACUUGCUAGGUGGACUGCUGCCAGAUUCACGAAACACUUAAGAAAGCCAAGGAAAUGUUCCAAGUUUACUUGGUUGAAUUUUGUUUUCCAGUGAAUUUGGGGUCAGCAACGGCAAUUAGAAGCUAACUUCCACUGGCAUUCGGGAACAAGAAACGGGCGAGGUGCCCCCGAAAACUCUUGAGUUCACUGUCUUUCUGGCCGUUUCAAGGGCUCUGCAAGCUUUACACCCAACAUGGGACUCGAACUCACAACCCUGAGAUCAAGAGUCGCAGGUGGCACCGGCUGAGUGAGUCAGGCACCUCAGGCUUGUUUCUAUCUAAAAGGUGUGUCAGAAGGAAAAGAUGAAUACGAGCCUCCUGGAGCUAUUGCCGCUACCUGAAGCAAGAUCCUAUGGAGACUACUGCCCAGUGGCUACACAGCACGGUGGUUUAGAACCAUUGUUGGAUGCUGGAGCCAGUGGGGUGGCUUCCAACAACAGCUGGACCUUACUGACCAGACGAGUGACGUUGGGCAGCAACUUAACUCAUUGACUCUUCACCAGAGCCCUAUGAGGUAGGUACUAGUAUUAUCCCCACUUCACAGAUGAGGAAACUGAGGUGCACAGAGAGUUUAUAUGGCCUGCCUAAGGUCACCUGUCCGAGCCAAUCGUUUAAAUUGGGGCCUUGGUGUACGAGA